CCUACGGGUGGCAGCAGUAGGGAAUAUUCCUCAAUGGGCGAAACCCUGAUGCAGCAACGCCGCGUGGGUGAUGAAGGUUUUCGGAUUGUAAACCCCUUUUGUUAGAGAAGAUAAUGACGGUAUCUAACGAAUAAGCACUGGCUAACACCGUACCAGCAGCCGCGGUAUUACGGAGGGGGCACGCGUUACGCGGAAUCACGGGGCGUAAAGAGAUCGCAGGCGGGAUAGCAAGUCAGAUGUGAAAGCCUACGGAUUAACCAUAGAACUGCAUUUGAAACUGUUAUACUAGAGUAUGGGAGAGGUAGGUGGAACUCUUGGUGUAGGGGUAAAAUGCGUAGAGAUCAAGAGGAAUACUCAUGGCGAAGGCGACCUGCUAGAACGUAACUGACGCUGAGGUGCGAAAGCGUGGGGAGCAAACAGGAUUAGAUACCCGAGUAGUC
rnacentral:rRNA from 1 species